AUUGAACGCUGGCGGCAUGCCUUACACAUGCAAGUCGAACGGUAACAGGUCUUCGGAUGCUGGCGAGUGGCGAACGGGUGAGUAAUACAUCGGAACGUGCCUAGUAGUGGGGGAUAACUACUCGAAAGAGUGGCUAAUACCGCAUGAGAUCUACGGAUGAAAGCAGGGGAUCGCAAGACCUUGUGCUACUAGAGCGGCCGAUGGCAGAUUAGGUAGUUGGUGGGAUAAAAGCUUACCAAGCCGACGAUCUGUAGCUGGUCUGAGAGGACGAUCAGCUACACUGGGACUGAGAAACGGCCCAGACGCCUACGGGAGGCAGCAGUGGGGAAUUUUGGACAGUGGGCGCAAGCCUGAUCCAGCAAUGCCGCGUGCAGGAUGAAGGCCUUCGGGUUGUAAACUGCUUUUGUACGGAACGAAAAGCCCCGGGUUAAUACCCUGGGGUCAUGACGGUACCGUAAGAAUAAGCACCGGCUAACUACGUGCCAGCCGCCGCCGUAA
rnacentral:rRNA from 1 species